CGAGGGUAAACCCGCACGGUCCAGUUGAAUCACCUGGUUUGAUUGGUAAACAUUUAUGGGUAUGAGAGGGGCUUGCGUCUGAUUAGGUAGUUGGUGAGGUAACGGCUCACCAAGCCAGUGAUCAGUAGGGGUUCUGAGAGGAUUGGCCCCCACAUGGGUACUGAGAGACGGACCCAACUCCUACGGGAGGCAGCAGUAGGGAAUAUUGGGCAAUGGAGGCAACUCUGACCCAGCCAUGCCGCGUGCAGGAUGAAGGCGCUCAGCGUUGUAAACUGCUUUUAUCUAGGAAGAAAUACAGAGAUGCGUCUUUGUUUGACGGUACUAGAGGAAUCAGCACCGGCUAACUCCGUGCCAGCAGCCGCGGUAAUACGGAGGGUGCAAGCGUUGUCCGGAUUUAUUGGGUUUAAAGGGUGCGUAGGUGGUUUUUCAAGUCUGAUUUGAAAGCUAGCUGCUCAACAGUUAGAUGUGGUUGGAAACUGGAGAACUUGAAUGGGUUGGCGGUAGCUGGAACGGGUCAUGUAGCGGUGAAAUGCAUAGAUAUGACCCAGAACCCCGAUUGCGAAGGCAGGCUACUACGACUUGAUUGACACUGAGGCACG
rnacentral:rRNA from 1 species